rnacentral:rRNA from 1 species
GGUGUUAGACCCGUUGGAGUAUGUCUUGGCAAUUAUUGAUGCUUCCUAUGAGUCGGAUUGUUUGAGAAUGCAGUCCAAAUUUGGUGGUAAACUCCAUCUAAGGCUAAAUACUUGUAUGAGUCCGAUAGCAAACAAGUACCGUGAGGGAAAGUUGAAAAGAACUUUGAAGAGAGAGUUAAAUAGUACGUGAAAUCGCUUAGAGGUAAACGAGUGGAGCCGAAAAAGCCAAGCAGGAUUCAGUUGGGCUUAGUAUGAUGAUUAGAUUGGUGAUAUCCGUUAAAAGAAUUGCCGAUUUGAUAUGUUUAUAUUACGCACAAUGCACUUUCUGUUUGACUGAACUGUGACCAAUAGAGUUGUUUUUCUGUCGUAAUGUUGAAGGUGACCAGUUGCUUGCAAUUGGUUUUAUAGCUCAUUACACGGUCAAAUUUAAUGUAUUGGUGAAUUGCAAUUAUUCAAUGUUGGCAAUUUGUUAUAUAUGUCGUUUGUUAGUUGGCUACAUGUAGACUGUUUUCAGAUGGCGUGUGUGAUCUUAUUGUUGACGGAUUAAUUUAAAGUCACAGUAUUAUGUAGGUUAUCUACUCGUCCCGUCUUGAAACACGGACCAAGGAGUUUUAUAUGAUCGCGAGUCAAAGGGCUUUACGAAACCCCAGGGCGCAAUUAAUGUAAAGGUCUAUUUUAAUAGACUGUGAUGUGACCUGCUAAUUUAUUAACAGUGCAACAUCGACCCGUCUAAAGAUGUUCGCAUCUGGGCGGAGUUUGAGCGAUCAUGUAGAGACCCGAAAGAUGGUGAACUAUGCUUGUGCAGGUUGAAGUCAGGGGAAACCCUGAUGGAGGACCGCCGCGGUUCUGACGUGCAAAUCGAUCGUCGGACAUGAGUAUAGGGGCGAAAGACUAAUCGAACCAUCUAGUAGCUGGUUCCCUCCGAAGUUUCCCUCAGGAUAGCUGGCGUUUGAUGUCGUAGUUUUACCUGGUAAAGCGAAUGAUUAGAAGUAUUGGGGGCGAAAUGCCUUCAACUUAUUCUCAAACUUUAAAUGGGUUCGAUGUGUAGCUCGCUUCAUUGGAGUUGCACGUUGAAUACGAAUGCCUAGUGGGCCAUUUUUGGUAAGCAGAACUGGCGAUGUGGGAUGAACCAAACAUUCGGUUAAGGUGCCUAACAUCACGCUCAUGAGAUCCCACAAAAGGUGUUGGUUGAUAAAGACAGCAGGACGGUGGACAUGGAAGUCGUCAUCCGCUAAGGAGUGUGUAACAACUCACCUGCCGAAUCAACCAGCCCUGAAA